rnacentral:lncRNA from 1 species
CAAGCAAGACCAGCUUCCUGGCCAGCAGACCUUCAUAGUACGUUUGCAUUUAGCAAAUCUGUCAUGAGAAUUAAGAAACAUUGAAACAAAUGAUGUACCAUUACAACUGAUUUUUUUUCUAAUCAACUGCCAAACUCCCGAAGCCCAUGUUUAGAUUGUCCAUGUUUUUAUAAUAUUAUUUUGAUCAGCAACAAGAACAAGUUGAAUUAAGAACCUUCCGGGGAGCGCAAACCUUUUACAAUAUGAUAAAAGAAAAAAGAAAAAAAAUGGCUACAAGGCUGCAUCUUAUUCGUAUAUGAUGUUUUCUCCUCUUCUUUCAAUAAUUCCAAUAACAAUGGCAGAAGUAAUAUCACGAUGCUUGUCCCUAAACUCCCUAAGUUACGCCCAGUUAGUACUCAUUAAUGGGUGUCUGUGAGGGAAAAGAUUUGAUACUCCUAAUCUUUGACAUAAUAUGCACAAAGUAGCUGCUCUCAAGACUUGAACUCACAGAUUGGGUGGCCAAGCCUUUGUACGCACAGCUAUGGUUGGGGACCUAGGGUACAUAGCUAAAAAUCAUGUUUUUAUUAUUUUGAGUAAUGAAUUAUUUGUAAUAAUUAGAAAACCCAAUGGAAUUCGUUAUGUAGUUAUUUAUAUUAUUGAAUUCUGUAAUUCAUUAUGGAAUUCAUUACAUAGUUAUGGGCGAACAACAAGAAUUAAUUAGUGGCUUAGUUUAUUAAGAAUUCAAGCUACAAACCAUAAUUUAUUGAAAAAGUUAGGUACAAACAAAGUUUAGUGUCAUUGUACUGAAAAAACUAUACGUUAAUAUUAUACACACACGAACUUAGAGAAAAAAGCUAGUUAAGCUAAUUUUGUCUCUCUAUAAAAGGAAUUACUAUUGCAACUGCGAUACGAGUUGGAUGUAUACUGGUUACCUCUGGCAAUUGGCACGUGUUUUGGCGUACUUGAUCCUUAUACAAAAGUACUAUGCAUAGUACAGGUACCCGAUACCGGGUACAUCAUGUUUUUUGAAAUACUCAUGGUUCAUAGCUUCACAGGUUAGCCACCCUCUACAAUCCUUUUACAAGAAAGGGACUAUCAAACAACUAUAUUGGCAUUUCGCAGUACAAAAAUAAAUCAUUUAUUUUUUAAAAGAAAGGAGAAUGAGGAAGCAGUUACCAAGAGUGAGAAUAGAAAAAAAAAUAGUUAAGAAGUAUUGACCAACCAACUAAGCCUUGUGUCCCAAUCAAAUGGAGCCUAGCUACCUGAAUCCUUUCUCGAAUUCCUGCCUUCAGGGCUAUGUGUUCAAUAAAAUCUGAUAGAUUCAUAUCUCUUUUUAACCAAUCCCAUGUUCAAUCCAGUUAUAUCUAUCUUUUUCACUAUCAAUACUAGUCUUCCUGUAAUGACAAACAACCUUGAGUCGUGUUCUCUCCAUGUGUUUCCAAUUCCAGUUAUCCCUAAUCGCUUCCAGUUCAGUAAUGUUUCAUUUUAAUUUUAUCAAUUCUAGUCUUGCCACACAUUCACCCAUUGUUUUAAAAAGAGCGCAUCCGAUUCACGAGGUUCACAUCUACUAGCCUUCGUUUUAUAUGGCCUAUUGUUUUAAAAACAAGAUUGGACCGACCAAUUCAAAUUAUUCAACUGGUUGAACCAUCAACCUGUCCAAUUUAUGGUCUGGUCAACCCUAUAUAUAUAGAGAGAGAGAGAGAGAGAACCUCUAAACCUGUCGGUCCAACCCCGUCGGUCUAACCAACUUGAACGGUUCCUUGUUUAACCGAACCACUCGGUCGUUGAAGACUGAUCUGCUGCAAAAUUCUUGAAAAAAUUGACUUUGAAGAGGUUCGAAUAAUAGACCAAAGAGAGAAUCACACCCACGCGAGAAUAUCAAAUCCUUGCGCCAGCUUGCGUCAUUAAGAAUUUCUU